rnacentral:lncRNA from 1 species
CCCGAAAUUGUACAAAGUAGAGUAGUACUUGAGCCCAAAUAGUUCUGAGAUGAUAGCAAAGAGUAAUGGCCACUGAGCACCAAAACAAAAGCCGAUAAUGACUGACGCCACGUAGAGACCACCGGAAACAUUGAAGGCAAUCAGGAGGUGACCAACACAAGAAAGGAGGAGGGUUAGGGUGAACAGCAAAGGGCGGGAGAAUUUGUACUUUUCAAGACAUGUUCAGACCCAAAACCUGAUACAACUCGACCAAGAUAGUUCCAGAUGCUCACCAAUGACACAAAAGUGCUAAUGCUCUUUUUAGGGUACCCUAAUGAAGUUCCAAUCUGACCCAAGUUGUCUAUAGCUGUUAACGUGCCACCAACACCGCAAAUUGUAGCUAAGAAGAGGAUGAGCAUGUCAACGCUAAAAAGAGCUUGUAGUAUGGUGAAAUCCUCUCCUCUGUCUGGUGGCCUAAAAGCAGUUUUCCAACAAGACACGUUGUUGUUGUCUGUGGUGCUUGGUGAUGACUCCACGGUGACCAAUUUUUUAUCACUAGAUGUAGAUGGCGGGGGAGGAGACGGGGCAGGAAUUUCUUGGCUUGGUGGUGGCUUUUCAGUGACAAUUUUCAAUGGAGAAGGGUCACUCAAGGCUUGCUUUUUGCUAUUCCAAAUCUUGUAUUCUUCUACAAUAACAACACCAAGUGGCACAAGGAGCAUGAGAAUCACCACGGCAGCGGUACCACCAUAUUCACCUCGAGUAAAACUAAGCUUUUUCUCCAGGAUGAUCACGAUCAUCAAAAACCCGGCCAGGGCAAGAGAUAUAUAGAGAAAAUUGUAGAAAACUUUGAGCUCAUUCGGUUGGCGAAUUACCUUCAUGAUUCGAAUGGUACGCAAGAAGGCAAAAGAGAUUGCAGCAGGAAGCCAUCCUAUGAGCAAAAUCAAAGCCUUCGGAUCACCCCCAUAAAAAGCAAGGUAAAAUUGAGUUAUAAUUGCACCACUAAGACCAAGAUAACCCUUCAAGAUCCCUAGCACACUCCCACGGCUUUCAGGGAAAUUCUUGACACAAGUGACAAGAGAGCCAGUGUUGGCAAAAGAUUGAGAAUUAGCGCCUAUAAAUAUGUAGAAGCACAUAUGCCACACUUGAACACCAGUAAUUUUUUUGGUCACGGCAAGCCAUAUCAUGAAGUAACCAAAAAAAUUCAAGACUGCCCCUAUUGACAGAACCACCCAUGGAGGAGUGACCUCAUUGAUUAGGCCCGAGAGGACACCAACAUUGGAACCUACAUCUUUGAAGAAGCUAAGCAAAUUAAGGGUGGUUUGAUCAUAACCCAGGGCACUUUUGAUAUCAGGGGAGUAGAGUGCAAACAUAUAGGUUGCACCAGCAGCCGACAUGAUUAGAAGUGAUGCGAACACCAUGAACCACCGCCCGGUGACGACCUGGGCGGUCAGACUCUUCAUGUCAGCCACACCACCAAUACCUCCACCACCACCUGGACCAGCAUCCACCAUUUUUUCCUUUCUUCUUUUUUUCUUUUCUUUGCGGGUAAUGUUUGGUGACACUCACCCUUAGCUUGUAGUGUGUUGACGAGGGAACCAUGGGGACUCGGGGUCCAUAUAUGUAUAUAUUAUCACAAAAUAUACGAGACGGGAGGGAGGGGGAAAAAAAUCCAACCAGUUGACUAAUGGGGUCUUCCAGGAAAGAAAUCAGAAGUACAAGAAAAUAUGUUUAGGAUCAAUAAUCUUUCUGUGGUUCUGUUUUCACGUGGAUAAUCUUAUCCCUAAGAUAACGCUGAAAGAUCACCCUCUCUCUAUUUUUAUAAUUAUUAAGUAAUAAUCUAAAAUGCGUGGGAAACUACUAGUUUCCCCAUGCCUUUCACUUAUUAAACUAUAAUUAAAAAAAGUUGGUGUUUUACUGUGAAUUAUACUAUGCAAUUCACAGUAAAACACUGACUCCUUUAACAAUAAUGUUUUAGGUGGUUUUUUUUUUUGUUUUUUUUAAGUUGUAUUAUUUUUUUUAGCUAUUUUUUUUUAUGUUUUUUGGGAAUUUCUUUUGCUUUUUUCUUUGUUUUUUUUUCUUUCAACAAAAUUUUUUUGUUUAAUUUAGUUUAUUAAUGUUAAAUUUUUUUAUUUAGUUAUCAGACUUUCAUGACAUGUUUAACGAGUUAACCGGGUUUGACAAGUUAACCUAUAAUUUUUUUUUCUUUUUAUUUUUUUUAAUUAAUUUCUUUUGUUUAGUUUAGUUUGUUAAUGUUAAAUUUCUUUCUAUUUAAUUAUUAGACUUUCAUGACACAUAUCUCGAGUUUCACGGGUUAACCUGGUUUCACGGGUGAACACAAUUAAUUUUGGGUUGACCCGUCAAUUUUUUUUUUCAUAUUUUUUUUUAAUUUAGUUUGUUAAUGUUAAUUUUUUUUUAUUUAGUUAUCAGACUUUUAUGACAUAGAUUCUGGGUUUAACGGGUUAACAUGGUUUGACGAGUUAACCCCGAAUUUUUUUUUUCUUUUAAAUUAAUUUUUUUUAUUUAGUUCAGUUUGUUAAUGUUUACUUUUUUUUUUAUUUAGUUACCAGAAAUUCAUGACAUGGAUCCCGGGUUUAACGGGUUAACUUGGUUUGACGAGUUAAUUUGGAAUUUUGUUUUUGCUUUUUUUUUUUUGUUUUUAAUUAUUUUUUUUGUUUAGUUUAGUUUGUUAAUGUUAAAUUUCUUUCUAUUUAGUUUUUUUUUCUUCUUAGAGGUUUUUUUUCUUUUAUUUUUUAUUUUUAAUUAAUUUUAUUUAAUUAAUUUAGUUUAUUAAUAUUAAUUUUUUUUCUAAGUAGUUCUCGGUUGAUACCUUUAGUUUUUCUUUUUGUUUUUAUGUUUUUGACUGUGGAUUACACAAUGCAGUCUACAAUAAAAAGGCUGAUGUCUGUUGUUUUUUUUUUCUUUUUAAUUAAUUUUUUUUGUUUAAUUUAAAUUGUUAAUGUUAAAUUUUUUUCAUUUAAUUAUCAAACUUUCAUGACACGAAUUUCGAGUUUGACAGGUUAACCUGGUUUGACGAGUUAGCCUAGUUAAUUCUGGGUUAACCCAUUAAUUUGUUUUUUUCUUUUUAAUUAUCAAACUUUCACGAUGUGAAUUCAAUGUAUGACGGGUUAACCUAGUUUGAAGGAUUAACCCAAUUAAUUCAUAUUUUUUUUUUUUUCAUUAGUUUUUUUUUCCUGUUGGUUUUUUUUCUUGGUUUUUUUUUCUUUUUAACUAAUCUAUUUAAUUAUCACACUUUUAUGACACAGCCUUGCAGCCAGACCCACAUCCAAUGCUAUUGGGUCUUAUAUUGCAGUCCAGACACUUUUAUGCUAAGGGUUAACCCAAGUUUAAUGUUAUUAUUAAUAUUAUAAAUAUUACUCUUGGUUCAGGCGUUGCAACCAAACCUAAAAUUCUUGGGUAUAACUUUGCAAAAAAACCUAACACUUUUAAAUCUUGGCUAUUUUUGAAAUGUAAAAAAUAAUUGACCCGCAACAUCGUGCUGGGCAUGUAACUAGUAUUAAUUAUAGUCAGUAAUAUAUAGCUGAUUGAAAAAACAAUCAUUACUGAUUAUUAAUUUUUGUGAAUCACAGGAUAGAAUUAUUACAUGAAAUUAAUUUUAUAGCUGUGUAAGUGUAUCUGACAUCGUCUUUUUCAAUUUUUUUUUUUUGAGGAAUAUCGUUAUUUACAAUAUUGGUGAGGAAUUUAAUUGAUUUCCUUUUUCUUCCUUUGCCGAUGUCUGUUUUGUCUGCUCAACCAACUGAGGAGACAUUAAUUUUGAUAAAUAAGUUUGAGGGAUGACAAUUUUGAGGAACAUCGUUUUUCCUCGUCUCUCUCUCUCUCUCUCUUUAUAUUCUCAAAAAGGAAUUAUGCUUGUUUGCAACAAUACGAGUGACUCCGGGAUGCCAAACUUUGGCAAAAAUCAAAUAACAGAUGAGAUUUGUUACGGUAGAUAAAAGUUGUUUUUUAAAAUAUUUUUUAAUUGAAAAUACAUUAAAAUAAUUUAAUUUAAUUUUUUAUAUAGUAUAUUAAACUCAUUAAAAAUAUAAAUUUAAUAUAUUGUUCAUAUAAAAAAUAUUUUAAAAAGCAGGUAAAACGUGAACUUGAAAUCAUUUCAAAUAAAUGUGAUAUAAUUCUACUGGGAUCGAGGUUAAUAAAUGAAUGAAAUGAGAGUAAAAAUUGAACCACAGACAUGAUGAUAGAUUUUCUUUUAUGGCCAUGUCAGAUCAAUAUAUUCUGUAUGGAUAUAUAAAAUCCCUUUUCUUUUCCAAAAAUACAGAUUCUCCACUUCAUAACUAAAGACAAGCAGUAUAAAUUCUAACUAUCAAAUCAACAUAUAAUAAAAGUAACACUGUUGGCCAAUUAGCUGCGUUGGUUGCCCUCCCGGACAUGCCAGGGCAUCGUCAUAUUGGAAGGUCAAUUUCAUUGACUGUGAUGUACCAUUUUAUGACUCUUAAUUUACACACAAAUUACCAGAAAAUCGAUAAAAAUCAAUAAAAUUAUUGAUAUAAUUUUUUCAUCGAUAAAUUUUACAGAUAAAAAUAUUUCCAUCUCAAAUUUUAUUGGUAUAUACUGACAGACAACACCUGUCGGUGAUACGGUCGGUAUAUACUGACCGUAUCACUGGCGGAUUAUAUAGUUUUUUUGGAAGGUUGCAACGGUGUGAUUACGUGGAUUUUUUUCCAGACAAUUUUACUAAUGGAAUGAACGACGAAUUCAAACAGGGAUCUCCGUACAGUGACGUUGCACAAUCACCGGCGGACUCACGACGGGUAUUUCGAUGAAAAGUUUUCGUCAAUGAUUCCAUCGGUAAAAGCCAAUAUAUACAUACUCGGUCGACACUUUAUUUCUACUUCUUCUUCCCCUUCUUCUUUCUCAUCCCACCUCUCGCCUCCCAAACUGCAGCCAACCACCCAUCACAACUCUCCCCCUCUUCUCAACACAAGCACUCAAGUUUCUUAUACUUUUAUUCGUGGUCACAACAUCCGAUCUUGUGGAUUUUAUUAUUUUUCUAAGUAAAUCUAUCCUUUUUAGUUUUAACAUUUAAAUGUGAAUUUUAUUGUUUUUUUUAGUAUAUAUUUUUUGUUAACGUAUGUACUUGUUUGAUUGUUAUUUAUCAAAGAAACUUGUAGUAUGAAUGUAUAAUUUUGUAGUUGUUAUAGUUUGUUUUAGAUUUUGCAAAUUAUAUUUGUUUGUAAAGUGUUGAAACUUUGUUUAAAUUACACCGAAUUAGAUUUGUUGUGAUGAAAUAAAUAAUAGCUUGUUUAACAGGCCCGUUCUAAUUUUUAUCAAUUCUUAAUACCUUGCUUGUUAAAUGAUUAAUGUAUAUAUAUGUCAAGGUAAAAAGGUUUCAUUAAUGGUGUUAGAAAUAUGUAUAAUAUAAACUCAACAUGGACUUCAAUGUUUAUAUUCAAGAAAGUUUGUUAUUAACAUGUUUUAUCUUUUUCUAUAAUUAAUUCUUAAUACAUUGCUUGUUAAAUGGUUAAUCUAGAUUUGUGUUGUAUAACAAUUGGUACAAUAAAUGCUUGACACUUUCAUAACCAACCGUAUGGUAUAACCUUCACUUGUACUAUGAAAGGAACAGAAGUCCGAAUCUGUCUUAUAGCCUAGACAUUGUUCAGUGUUCAAUCCAUAUCUCGAGUUCCAAAAGUUCAAAUGACCCCAUUCUUGUUUUGUUGGAAAGCUAGGAUAAUUUCACAAGCAAUGUAUUAAAAAUCAAUAAGAUAUAUAUAAACUUGUGAAUCUAAAGAAAACAUACACAUCGCUGCCGACUUCCUUCAUGUGUAGGGCUUUGUGAUGUUCAAGUUGGUCCAGUGUCAUCUUUAUCUUCGAGAGUCAAGGAAUCAAAGAUACUAUUAUAUCUCGGAUUAGUAAGAUAUCUUUUAUUUGGUUCAACGUCCGUUUCUCUUGGGUGGCAGUUAGUCUCUUGCUCUCUCCUUCACUGUCAUUUUGUUGAAUAUUCUAAGGAACUUAUCAGCCAUUUGAUCAGUUAUGAACACAAAAAUUCCAAAGUUUAUUGCUUUUCUAUUCCAUUACUUUCCUUGUAUUUCUUCUCUCUUUUCCUGGAUGUGUGGCUAGAAAAGUUGGUGUCAAUAAUUCUAGCAGUCAAGAGUGACAUCAUCUUUAGAAUAGUCUUGGCAUAAAAAGAGAGAAGAAAGUCCAUGUAUCAAAUAAUUAGUUUUUUUGUGGCCCAUAAAUUAUUAUUAUUAUAUAUAGCUAAAUUAUUAUUCCUGCUGUUUUACGGGUUUUUUUUUUUAAGUUUUUUUUUCCUUCAUUUUUUCUUUGUUUUUUUUAAUGGAUAUUUUUAAAUUUUUUUUUUAUUAAUGUUAACUUUUUUUGUAUCUCAAACUUUUAUAACACGUAUUCCAAGUUUAACAGGUUAACCCAUAUUUUUAUUUUCUUUUUAAUUAAUUUUUUUGUUUAAUUAAUUAUGGGUUAACAUGGUUUCAUAGGUUAACCAAAUUAAUAAUGGGUUAACCCGUUAAUUUUUUUGUUUAAUUAAUUAUGGGUUAACAUGGUUUCAUAGGUUAACCAAAUUAAUAAUGGGUUAACCCGUUAAAUUUUUUUUCCUAUACAGUUAUCAAACUUUCAUGACGCGAAUCCAAGGUUUGACGGGUUAACUUAGUUUGAGGGUUAACCCAAUUAAUUCAGAUUUUUUUUUACUUUUUGCUUUUCUUUUUCUUCAUUUUUAUUUGUUUUUUUUAAUGGAUAUUUUUUUUUAAAUUUUUUUUGUUAAUGUUAAAUUAUUUUUUUUAUCUCAAACUUUUAUAACACGCAUUCCAGGUUUAACGGGUUAACUCAAAUUUUUUUUUCUGGUUUUUCUUUUUAAUUAAUUUUUUUAUUUCCACAGUAAAACACUGAUUCCUUAGGCGUUUUUUUUUUUAAGUUGUCUUAGUUUUUUUAGCUGUUUUUUUAUGUUUUUUGGGAUUUUUUUUUGCUUCUUCCUUUGUUUUUUUUUUAACAAUUUUUUUUUGUUUAAUUUAGUUUAUUAAUGUUUAAUUUUUUUAUUUAGUUGUUAGAUUUUUAUGACACGUUUACCGGAUUUAAUGGGUUAACUUGGUUUGACAAGUUAAAAUAGAUUUUUUUUUCUUUUUAUUCUUUUUAAUUAAUUUUUUUUCGUUUAGUUUAGUUUGUUAAUGUUAAAUUUUUUUCUAUUUAGUUAUUAGACUUUCAUGACACAUAUCCCGAGUUUCACGGGUUAACCUGGUUUCACGGGUGAACCCAGUUAAUUCCGGGUUGACCCGUCAUUUUUUUUAUUUAUUAUUUUCAUAAAUGUUUUUGUUUAAUUUAGUUUGUUAAUGUUAAUUUUUUUUUAUUUAGUUAUCAGAUUUUAAUGACACAGAUCCUGGGUUUAACGGGUUAGCAUGGUUUAACGAGUUAACUCAGAUUUUUUUUCUUUUUAAUUAAUUAAUUUUUGUUUAGUUUAGUUUGUUAAUGUUCACUUUUUUUUUUAUUUAGUUACCAGACAUUCAUGACACGGAUCCCGGGCUAACUUGGUUUAGUUUAGUUUGUUAAUGUUAAAUUUCUUUAUAUUUAGUUUUUUUUUUCUUUUUAGAGGUUUUUUUUUCUUUUUAAUUAAUUUUAUUUAAUUAAUUUAGUUUAUUAAUAUUAAAUUUUUUUCUAAGUAGUUUUCGGCUGAUGCCUUUAGUUUUUUUUGUUUUUUUGUUUUUUUAUGCCUUUGACUGUGGACUGCACAGUACAGUUCACAGUGAAAAGGCUGAUGCUUUUUGUUUUUUUAAUUAAUUUUUUUCAUUUAAUUUAAAUUGUUAAUGUUAAUUUUUUUUUCUAUUUAGUUAUCAAACUUUCAUUACAUGGAUUCCGGGUUUGACAUGUUAACCUGGUUUGACGAGUUAGCCCUGUUAAUUCUGGGUUAACCCAUUAAUUUGUUUUUUUUUAUAAUUAUCAAACUUUCAUUAUGCGAAUUCAAGGUAUGAUGGGUUAACCUGGUUUGAAGGGUUAACCCAACUAAUUCAUAUUUUUUUUUCUUUUUUCUCAUUAGUUUUUUUCUUCCUGUUAGUUUUUUUUUUAACUAAUCUAUUUAAUUAUCACACUUUUAUGACACGACCUUGCAACCAGACCCACGUCCAAUGCUAUUGGAUCUGGUAUUGUAGUCCAGACACUUUUAUGCUAAGGGUUAACCCAAGUUUAAUGUUAUUAUUAAUAUUAUAAACAUUACUCUUGAUCAGCGAUGCAACCAAAACUGAGACUUUGGUAUAACUUUACAAAAAAACCCUAACACUUUUAGAUCUUGGCUAUUUUUAAAAUGCAAAAAAUAAUUGACCCGCGGCAUCGCGCGGGGCAUGUAACUAGUGAAGUAGCUAGAAAUGGAUGGUGUUUAAACUUGAAUGGUCUCUAGGAUCAUGCGUAACUACUAAAAAAAGAGAGUCAUUAGCAUCGCAUGUUAGUAUCAGAAUAAUUUAGAUUCAACUUUAGCAACAGAUUAAUAUCAGAAUAAUAUAUAUAUAUAUAUAUAUAUAUAUAUAUAUUAAUUUUUUAAUAUUAGCAAUGGAUUUGUCGUUGUUAAUAUGGUUGCUGAUAAUUUUUUUUUUUUUUGACUUUUUUAUAUAUAUAAAAAUAAAUAAUAAUUACAUGUUAAUUAUUUAUUAGUCCAUCUAUGCCUUGAAAACAAAAGAGAACAUCACACAUGCAAAAUUCCUUCAUUCUCCAGAAGAACCCAUAUGUCCCUUUCUAUACCUUCUCCAGAAACCUAAUUAACCCAUGUCUCCCUUUCUAUUCCUUCUCCAGAAACCAAACCCAUAUGUUCCUUUCAAUUCCUUCUCCAUAAAUCUAUCUCUGUCACAUGUUAUUUUUCAAAAAUAUAAUUUGUUAUUUUUUUAACUUCUUCUCUUGUUAAUUUACGCUUCCAAGAAUUCCAUCUUGCAGGGACAAACAUGGUGUGAAAAUUUAAGAUAGUAGGUAUAAUAAAAAAAACUCAUAUUUAAGAGAUUAUGUUUGUUAAAUAUGUUAGAGAUAAUAUAUAUUGUUUUAUUAACUAAUUUUAUUGAAUAAUUUUAUAGAUCAAUUACAAAUUAUUUGUUAAAUAUGACUGUCAUGUAUAACAUGUUAAUGUUUCUAAUUUUUAAUGUAGUGUUCUUGAUCUUUAUGGUUCUGUGAUGUUUCCAUUAUUGUUUGGUUAAGUAGUGAGAUUUUUUCUAGGGUUUUGAUUUUUUUGUUUUUUUGGGUGCAUGUAUGUUGUUUUUCGGAGGAGAAAUAUGGGUAAUAUGUCAUAGGAAGGAUGACAGAGUUUGUGCAUAAUCCAUGGUAAAAACUAUGACAGUUGGCUUCCCAGCAAAGCUUCCCAAUUUCUUCCAUACAAAGUGAAAGAAAAUAUGACAUGCAAGUAUUACUCGAUCCAAAUCUUGCGACUUGCAUCAAUUAUUCCUUUUUUACUUAUCGUGACAGUUUAGAAUGGCUGUUGAAUCGGGAUCAGUAUAGCAUUUACUAUCUUUAUCUAUAAAUUUAGUAAUUGAAAUAAAGUGUAAUUGUUGAUACCCGUUUUUUUUGUUAAAAAAAGGUCUAUAUUGAUUUUUAUGUAAAUUUUAUUAGCAUGUUAAAUGAUUAUUUUCUAAAUUUAUUUUUGGGUGGGCAAGGAUAUGGCAAUGUUGGGAUUCCGUAGAUAAGAAUGGCUUCCUUGUGAUAUUUGGAUUACGCAUUUUAGAAACCAAAAGCUUUGCUGAACAAAUCAGUUUCGAGUUUCGACAGUUUGAGGUUUAUGAUUACUGUGAAAUGUGGAUAACUUUUUGAUGCGUUGUUAAAUUGGAGAUUUCUUUAUCAUAGGGAAAUAAGGAAUGCUUGAUAACUUUUAUAUUCAAGAAUUGAACAAUACAUGUGUGAAAUCCCGGUAUAUUAUAACUACAAUGAUGGAUGACCGUGGAACAUAUAUAAUUAUAAAGUCUCAAUAAAUCAUAAAUAAAAUGAUAAACAUUGUCAUAACCCAAUUCUAUGUUAUUCCCCCAAAAUAACUUUUUUUAAAAAAUAAAAAUAAAAAAAUAAAAUAAAGGCUGGCAAUAUGGAGAAAGUAGGCCGGGGAAUUAAGCUGCAAUUUUUUGUACCCUAUUAUGCCCAAAAAAGGAGAAAACAAUGCAAAUUCAAGGUCAAAUUAAAUAAUUAUUGAACGAAUUUGCAUAAAAAUUAAGUCCAAGGACAUAAUUCAAUUUUUAAUAGGCCAAUUUGAUUUAAUCAUGGGUCAAAUUGAAUUUUUAAUUAUGUUUAAGAAUUAAUUUGGGUUCAAUUAGAGGAUUUAAUUAAGUGCAAAGACUUAAUUAUACUUUAAAUGGGUCAAAUUAAUUUUAUUUUGGGUUUAAUUAGUGAAACAUUAAGUCCAAGAACAUAAUUAAAUUUUUAAUAGGCCAAUUUGAUUUAAUCAUGGGCCAAUUUGAAUUUUUAAUUAUGUUUAAGAAUUAAUUUGGGUCCAAUUAAAGGAUUUAACUAAGUGCAAUGACUUAAUUAUACUUUAAAUGGGUCAAAUUAAUUUUAUUUGGGGCUUAAUUGGUAAAAAAAUUAAGUUUGGGAGCUUAAUUUGGGUUUAAUUGAGAAGAUUGGAAUUUUAAAAGACCAAAUUUAAUUUUUACCAAGUUAAUUGAUUGAAAUUGGGGGUCAAAUUGCAAGAAAAUUAAAGUUUUGGGGUCAAUUAGGGGUUAAAUUGAAGAAAUCCGAGACCAGAGACCAAUCUGCAACAGUAGGAAAACUAUGGGGGUUCAAUUGACAAAAACCGGGGGUGAAAUUGAAGAAAUUAAAAGUUUAAUGGUCAAUUAGGGGUUAAAUUGGUAAUUUCCUAGACCAAAGACCAUAGUGUAAAAGGCGCGUAACUUCAAGGUUCCAAUUGAAGUUCAUCAGGGGCUUAAUUGCAUUAAAUCAGAAGUAUAGGGUCAAUUAUGGAUUCAAUUGAAAGCUAUUGGAAGCUUGAGGACUAAAUUGAAAAUAAGUUUAAAUCCUAAUUUAACCUGAAACAACGCCGUUUUGUGUAUUUUUUUUUUUAAAAAGUGAAGACCAGACGACGCGUUGUCUGGUCACUGUUCUUUGUCUUCUUCUUUUACCCGAAAGAAACUGUUUGGCUGCCUACUUUUCAGGUGCAUUUAAUGCACCAAACGUCCACCGAAUUUAACCAAACUUGCACGAAAAUGAUCCUAUACAGUCACUCUACAUCCCCAUGUGAAUCUUUCAGUCUGAAAGACAACAUAUCGGCGCCGGCGCCAGCCUAAACAUGCCCACUCAGGCAGCUUUUUCUGCAGAAUUGACAACUCAGGAUGCCUACUUUGGGCCAACAGUUGAGAUCCUUCCCAACUGAUUCAAUGGCUUAAAUUUUACCCCGGUGUAGACGAGAUUACCCUCUUCCACCGCCUAUAAAUAGAGGCUUCGUUGAUGACCUGAUGGAGGAGAAAAGGGAGUCCAAAGUCGGCCAAAAAACCAGCCUCUCCCCCCGUCUCUAUAGUUUUUUUUCCUCUUCCUCUCUCUCCCCGUCGUCUCAGCCACCACCACCCUCAUCACUGGUCUUUACACAAUCAACUCCACCACAGGAAGCCACCAACCGACCACCGAGAACCUUUCUCUCUCCUCUUUGCAGCCCCUCCAGUUUUCUUCUUCUUCUUUUGCUUCCUCUGCAAUCGGCCGCCAACUCUUCCACCGUUCCUCGCCGCGAUGCCGCCCUGGCCAUCAACGCAACCUCCUGAUCACGUCAGUGACCAUCGUGCCUGGUAGCCUUCUCCUCCGCCGUCCCCUGCUCCUGCCCCCAACUCUCGUGGCCAUUGCAUUCAGAAGACAUUCUGCAUGCAAUGGCAGAACAAUCAAUUGUGAAGGUGGGCUGGAUCUUAUGGGGCCCAGACCAAAUUCAUGGGCCGAAUUCGGCCCACCCCAAAAAUACUUGUCGGGAUGAGAUCAGCCCAACCCUUUUGGGCCGAUAACAACCCACCCUUUGUAGGCUGGGCUUGGCCUAGUUAGUUGGGCCGGCCCAGCCCACAUAUUUUAUAUUAUAUAAUAUAUAUUAUUUUAUAACAUUAUUAUUUAAAAAAAAAUUAAAAAAAAUUCAAAAAUCAUUUUAAUUUUUUUUUUAUUUUCUUAAAUUUUUUUUUAUCCAUUUUGCAUAAUAUCGGGUUGUAUAUUUACAUUGUAAAAUAUAAAUCUGGUAUUAAAAUACCCGGUUUUUCUCCGAAAUAUUUCAAAAAAAUAAAAAUUCAAAACAUUUUCAAAAAGAAAAAAUAUUUUGUUGCAUACGGCCAAAUUCUAAAUUUUUUUUUCAAGCAUAUUUUUCAUAAAAAAAAAAACAAGGAAAAAAAUUACAUAUUUGUCAUGUUUUUUUUUAAAUCUGAAAAAGGAUAUCAUAACCAGUUUAUGAUUAUCCAUUAGGAUUUGGCCAACAUAUUAAAAAUAUUUUUUCAAUUUUUUUUAGGAUCCAGAUGUAAACUUUAAUAUUUGUGGGGUGUAAAAUUACACAAUAAAUUAUACCCUCGGGUAUUAAAGAUACAAGGUGUAAAUGUGAUGCUAAAAUUCAGACUUUAGAACGGUUAGGAUUUAACCCAUAAGGUAGAGAUUUUCUCAUGAAAAGAGAUCUACCUUGAACCUUAGAAAGACCAACAAAAAGCAAUCAAACAACAAUGCAACUUACCUUAGGUAAGGUGCACUGGGGGUGAUGCGUCUUCCCCUUGCACAACCAGUUCCUUACUCAGACUCUCGCAGACCAUAGGUUCCUAGUGACCAUAAUACUAGGUGACGACUUCUAAAAAUUAAUCAUAAUUUUAUGAUUAAAUCCAAAAAUCAUUCCCAACACACACCACACCACACAUAGGAGGCACGACAAGGAGCCUCCUUCGUCGCCAGACGACGUCGCGACCCCCCGCGACAAACAUUAUUCAGUGCUCAUUACAUGCUAAUUUAUUUUUUUAAUUUUUUAACACUAUUAUUCUUAUUCAUUUUUAUUUUUAUUUUUCUAAUUUCAGAUUGUUGAUACCAUCAUCAUCACAUUAUUUAUUUGCAUUUGAAGUUGUCAAGUUUUUAGAUUGUGCAUAUUGGUCCUUCAAGUUUGUCAAUAUAGCUUAAUUUUUUUUUAUUAAUUUUAGAAGAUAAUUUGAUUUGUAGAAAAAUUGCAUCGGUGCCACCUUGAAUUGUUAAAUGCAUCAUUAGUGCAAUGUCAGUAUUGUUUUUUUAUAAUUCAAUUUUGAUUGAUACUCGAGGAUUGUAUGAGAGAGUCCUUAAUCACAGAUUAAAUAACUGGUCGACUGGUUAAUUGGGACAUCAAAAGCUGAUAUUAUGAGUGUGUUUGGUAUUACGGUAGCUUUUGUGGUUACGGUUUAAAAAAAAUUGUUUUAUAAAAAGUACUUUUAGUUGAGGUUGGUUUAAAAAAAUAGGUGUUUGGUUAAAACUGUGGUUGAAAUUGAAGUUGAAGAAAAAGUAGUUUAAUGUGUUUGGUUAAGAAUGCUUUUAAAAUUGAGGUUAUAAAAUAAUUUUAAAAAUAUAUAUUAAUACUGAUGAUUUUUAAUUUAAAUAUUGCUAUUAUAUCUUGAAAUAAAUCAUACUUUAUAUAAAAUAUUUUUUAUUAUUCCAUGAAACCAUUUAUAAUUCCAUUACGUAUGAAAUACAUCCGACAAAAACUACAGUUUUCAUAAUAUUUUUAGCAUGUAAUAAAAUUGGAUAAAAUAUUAUCAGGUAUCAAAUUCACUCUAAACUAGUUUUUUUUUUUAAAAAAAAAAGUUAAAAAAAUAACUCACUAAAAAAAAUAACAUACUACUUAAAAAAAUAAUAAAAAAUAAAAAAGAAAGAAAGAAGGUUCCCGUAGGCAAGUGAACAGUGCAAGAGAAUUGCAUUGUUCACUAUUUUUAAGUGAACAAUGUACACAAUACACUGUUCAUGUUAAUUGCAUUGUUCAUUGCAAUUAACAUGAACAAUAAUAAAAAAGUAAGAAAUGACUCCUUUUCUUUUCCUGUGUUUCUAACACAGAAAUUAAGUGGGGUCCAAUGAACAAUAAAUUGAUUUUUUAACUAACCAAAUAGUUGCGUACUGUGUUUUAAAUAAAACGCAGCUGCGUAGCCAAACGGGCUCUAUGACUUGUAAAAGUAACUGCCAUCAACUAAGAAAAAUGAAGGCAAGUAGAGAGAGAUAUUAGAGGAAAAGCACUCAUUGCUAGCAAGAAGCAAAUUAAGUGACAUGCAAGCAAAUGACAGACAAUCUAAAAAGACGAGGUUUUAGUGGUUGAAUAAUAUUGUGACCACGAGAAUUCCAAGAGAGAUUUCUAGGAGCAGGGAAGCUUUUCUUUUACAAAUAGUGUAAUGUUAUAUCUAUAAUGAAAGAUCCGUCUUGUAUCAUCUUUGAUUAAGUAAUGAAAUUCAAUUUAAGAGAAAAUUUGGCCUUUUUAUUUUGAUAGACUACCUUCCCUCAAAUUGUUAGCAAGGAUUAAAAUAAAUAAAUCCUGAUAAAUAUAAUUUAACUAGUUAAGUUUUAAAUUUGUUUUUUAAAUAUUACCGGUUUGAGUUUUAGAAAUCUCAGGAUCAUUAGAAGAUAUUGUUUUUAAUUUCAUAACUCAUAAAAUUAAUCGAGUUACAUGUAAGUUAGUUCGAAUAUUCAUAUUAAUAAUAAAAAAAUAAUUCCAGGGCCAUAAAGCCAUACUUACAGGCGAAACAGGGACUAAUAGCCUAAACGAUCACAUUUCUUCCGUCUAGGGACAAACCGAUGAGAAAUUAUAUUGGAAAUUAAAGUCCCUGUCAAUAAUAUAUAUAUAUAAAAAACCCCAAUAAGUUCGAAGUCAAUCAUGAAUCCAAAGAAGCAAUUGGUUCCACACAAUUGGGACUUUCUUUUACUCACAGAGUUGGGAACUAUGAAAAUUAAAAAUAAAGAGAAAUGGGACUUUCUUUUACUCACAGAGUUGCGGUCCCAAUUGGGAGCCAUAAAAAAAUGGGCAAAGACUUUGUUUUAGUUGUUGUUUGGUUCCUAUUCAACUUAUUUUUUAUAAAAAAAUAAUUUUUUUUUUAAAAUUAUUGCUUUACUGUUUUUGCAUCUAGUGUAAAAAGUAAUAUAAAAAUAUUAUUUUAAUAUAUUUUUAAUAAAAAUACUCUAAAAAUAAUUAGUAUCACACUUCUAAAUUUUUUUAUUAUUAACAUGAAUGUCCGACCCAGCUUACGCAUAUCUUGAUUAAUCACAUGAGAUUUGAAAUUAACAACAAUAUAAGUCUUCAGUUGCCCUAAAAUUUAUAAGACUUGAAUUGAUAACAUCUAAAAAAACAAACUCAAAAUUUAAACAGUUAAGCUAUAUCCCUAGAAAUUUUUUAAAUAUUUUCCUUUUUUAGUAAAACCAGGAAGCACACACUAGCCAAGUAUUAUUUUAUACAAUGUUUACAAGAAAGCACCAACAUUUUUCUUAUAAAAUAGUCAAGGCCACACAAUAUAUUAUAUUUUUGUUCCUGCCACUGGCCACCACAAAAAAUACAAUCACAUGAUCAUAAAUUAAUGUGUUACAAUUCAUCAAUGGCACUUACCCCCGUAUAAAUUUUAAACUUUUCGUUUUUGCUAUUAAAACCUUUUCUUCGUGGUUGAAGCUAAUAAUUAAAAAUCCCUAGCCAAUCUUUGUUUCCGCCCGUCCGACGCCAUUCCCGGAUACCGCCAUUUCUGUCUCUGCUUCCUCUGCCGCCUCUCGGAACUUCUUGUAGAUGUCACUUUUAUAGAACUUCCUAGUCCUGUACACCAAAAUUAAUGAAACGAAGGUACCGAACAAUGUUGCAGCUGUAAUGACAAUGAAGGACAGCCUGAAGCACUCGGUGCCAUCGCAAUCUAGGGCUUGGCCAUGCUUUCUUAUGAGACCCUUCGCUGCCAAUUGCUUCCUUGCCUCUUUAUCAUAUAAAUGCCCCGUCAGUUUCACAUUAAGUAGAUAUAGCCCAACAGGGCUGGCCGCAGCUCCGAAAUUGUACAAAGUAGAGUAGUACUUGAGCCCAAAUAGUUCUGAGAUGAUAGCAAAGAGUAAUGGCCACUGAGCACCAAAACAAAAGCCGAUAAUGAUUGACGCCACGUAGAGACCACCGGAAACAUUGAAGGCAAUCAGGAGGUGACCAACACAAGAAAGGAGGAGGGUUAGGGUGAACAGCAAAGGGCGGGAGAAUUUGUACAUUUUCAAGACAUGUUCAGACCCAAAACCUGAUACAACUCGACCGAGAUAAUUCCAGAUGCUCACCAAUGACACAAAAGUGCUAAUGCUCUUUUUAGGGUACCCUAAUGAAGUUCCAAUCUGACCCAAGUUGUCU